AUCCUUUUACUCUUUCUAAAUGCCUAUUUUAGUUUCAGUUAUAGUUUCUUAUACAUCAUGAAAGAGAGAAAGAUUAUAAGGUGGCUGUGAUGAAAGUGACAUGCUGACAUCGGUUGAGUAUUUAUCAUGAUGAUCAAACACUUCUGAGCUACUCUAUCUUUCUUUUCCUCAAACUAUCUCACUAAAGUGUCACAUAUGCACCAUGUAAACCAGCUAUGCACAACUACAAAUGACUCUUUGGAUUUUCUGUAGACAAAAUUACUCGUUUCUUAAGCUUCAAAAAUAAAUUUGUCAUUUUUGUUGUUCUCCUUACCUUAACUAACUCAUAUAUGAGAUUUUUAAAGUGAACUAGUUCUAAAAGUAGUUUUAGCUUACUUACCAUUCUAAACACAGUUUCAAUUACAAGCC
rnacentral:lncRNA from 1 species